CCUACGGGAGGCAGCAGUGAGGAAUAUUGGUCAAUGGACGAGAGUCUGAACCAGCCAAGUAGCGUGAAGGAUGACUGCCCUAUGGGUUGUAAACUUCUUUUAUAUGGGAAUAAAACGUUCCACGUGUGGGAUUUUGUACGUACCAUAUGAAUAAGGAUCGGCUAACUCCGUGCCAGCAGCCGCGGUAAUACGGAGGAUCCGUGCGUUAUCCGGAUUUAUUGGGUUUAAAGGGAGCGUAGGGGGAUUGUUAAGUCAGUUGUGAAAGUUUGCGGCUCAACCGUAAAAUUGCAGUUGAAACUGGCAGUCUUGAGUACAGUAGAGGUAAGCGGAAUUCGUGGUGAAGCGGUGAAAUGCUUAGAUAUAACGAAGAACUCCGAUUGCGAAGGCAGUUCACUGGACUGCAACUGACACUGAGGCUCGAAAGUGUGGGUAUCAAACAGGAUUAGAUACCCGUGUAGUC
rnacentral:rRNA from 1 species